UACGGAGGAUCCAAGCGUUAUCCGGAUUUAUUGGGUUUAAAGGGAGCGUAGGCGGCCCAUUAAGUCAGAGGUGAAAGACGGUAGCUCAACUAUCGCAGUGCCUUUGAUACUGAUGGGCUUGAAUACAGAUGAGGUAGGCGGAAUGUGACAAGUAGCGGUGAAAUGCAUAGAUAUGUCACAGAACACCGAUUGCGAAGGCAGCUUACUAAACUGUGAUUGACGCUGAGGCUCGAAAGCGUGGGGAUCAAACAGG
rnacentral:rRNA from 1 species